ACACUGUACGAGUUUGAUCACUUACAGAUGGGCCCGCGGCGCAUUAGCUAGUUGGUGAGGUGACGGCUCACCAAGGCAACGAUGCGUAGCCGACCUGAGAGGGUGAUCGGCCACACUGGGACUGAGACACGGCCCAGACUCCUACGGGAGGCAGCAGUAGGGAAUCUUCCGCAAUGGACGAAAGUCUGACGGAGCAACGCCGCGUGAGUGAUGAAGGUUUUCGGAUCGUAAAACUCUGUUGUUAGGGAAGAACAAGUGCCGUUCGAAAGGGCGGCACCUUGACGGUACCUAACGAGAAAGCCACGGCUAACUACGUG
rnacentral:rRNA from 1 species